ACUAUAGAUUUUUAAUCUAUGGAAGUUUGAAGGAAUAACCGGGCUGUGAUGCCCUUAAAAGGUCUGGGCCCCACGCCCGCUACCCUGAUGAAAGCAACGAAUUUCAUCCUUGAUCGGAAGGGCCGGGUAAUCUUUUGAAACUUCAUCGUGCUGGGGAUAGUCCCUUGGAAUUUUUGGACUUUAACGAAGAAUUCCUAAUAAGCGUGAGUCAUCAACUCCCGUUGAUUACCUCCCUGCCCUUUGGACACACCGCCCGUCGCUACCA
rnacentral:rRNA from 1 species